UGCCAGCGAUUAGGUCGGGAACUCAAAGGAGACUGCCAGUGAUAAACUGGAGGAAGGUGGGGAUGACGUCAAGUCAUCAUGGCCCUUACGACCAGGGCUACACACGUGCUACAAUGGCGCAUACAAAGAGAAGCGACCUCGCGAGAGCAAGCGGACCUCAUAAAGUGCGUCGUAGUCCGGAUUGGAGUCUGCAACUCGACUCCAUGAAGUCGGAAUCGCUAGUAAUCGUGGAUCAGAAUGCCACGGUGAAUACGUUCCCGGGCCUUGUACACACCGCCCGUCACACCAUGGGAGUGGGUUGCAAAAGAAGUAGGUAGCUUAACCUUCGGGAGGGCGCUUACCACUUUGUGAUUCAUGACUGGGGUGAAGUCGUAACAAGGUAACCGUAGGGGAACCUGCGGUUGGAUCACCUCCUUACCUUAAAGAAGC
rnacentral:rRNA from 4 species